AAACUCCAAACCUGAUCAUAACUCCAAGCACUGAUUUAGUAUCAAUCUUUUGAACACAAAAUCAAUAUUCCACAAAAGAAUGAUGUCACCGUCUAUGCUAGCUGUUUUGUGUUUAUUCCUGCUUGCAAGUCAAGGAAGCACACAAACAUAUGAAGAAUGUAUGGCGGCAUGUGAUGUCAACUAUUUAGCCUGCAUUGCUAAUUGCUCGGGCGAUCAGUGCCAGCUAUGUAAAGAUGCAUACGAUGAAUGCAAAGAUAAAUGUCAGCCAUAGCAAUGAUUGAGCAGACAUCAUCUAGUUUCCUGUUAUCCUAAUUCAAAUCUUAAUGUAUUGAAAGACUCUCUUGAGGAUGGAAAACAAUGAAAUGGAUAAAUAUUAUAAACAAUUAUAGUAUAACAUAACUAGUAAAAUAAUAGAUUGAUAAGGUGAUAAUGUGAAAUUCUAAAAUAUACAUAUAAAAUAGUCAAAGAUUUCAUGGGUGUAUUAUAAAAUAUCUUACUUCAAAUGUACAAAAUAUUAGUUAUUUCUUCUAAAUGUUAGACGACAUUGCAUUAAACUAUCAUUUUAACUUCAAGAAAGAACCAGCUUUGCUCCU